GCUUGUGGCCAUACCAACCUGGACACACCUGUUUAGGGUUAGACCUGGUUAGUACUGGGUCGGGAGACUGCCUGGAAAUACCAGGUGUUGUAAGCU
rnacentral:rRNA from 1 species